rnacentral:tRNA from 1 species
AUUUAUAUAGUUUAAAUAAAACAUUACAUUUUCACUGUAAAAAAAUUAUAAAUCAUAUUUAUAAAUA